GGUCCGAUGGCCUAGAGGUUAACGCAUCCACCUUGAAUGGGGAAUGUCAUUGGUUCGAACCCCGGUCGAGUCA